CGUCGUAGUCCGGAUUGGAGUCUGCAACUCGACUCCAUGAAGUCGGAAUCGCUAGUAAUCGUGGAUCAGAAUGCCACGGUGAAUACGUUCCCGGGCCUUGUACACACCGCCCGUCACACCAUGGGAGUGGGUUGCAAAAGAAGUAGGUAGCUUAACCUUCGGGAGGGCGCUUACCACUUUGUGAUUCAUGACUGGGGUGAAGUCGUAACAAGGUAACCGUAGGGGAACCUGCGGUUGGAUCACCUCCUUA
rnacentral:rRNA from 2 species